UACGAAGGGGGCUAGCGUUGCUCGGAAUCACUGGGCGUAAAGCGUACGUAGGCGGAUUGCUAAGUCGGGGGUGAAAUCCUGGAGCUCAACUCCAGAACUGCCUUCGAUACUGGCGAUCUCGAGUCCGGGAGAGGUGAGUGGAACUCCGAGUGUAGAGGUGAAAUUCGUAGAUAUUCGGAAGAACACCAAGUGGCGAAGGCGGCUCACUGGCCCGGUACUGACGCUGAGGUGCGAAAGCGUGGGGAGCAAACUAGGGAGUUAAGAAACCC
rnacentral:rRNA from 1 species